GCGGGGCUGGGGACAUCG
rnacentral:miRNA from 1 species